rnacentral:piRNA from 1 species
UCACAGUAAAUUUCAUUGUGUCAAAAGU